UGCGCAGGCGGAAUGAUUAGUCAGUGGUGAAAGCCCUCGGCGCAACCGAGGAACUGCCAUUGAUACUGUCAUUCUUGAGUACAGUUGUAGUGGGCGGAAUGUGUCAUGUAGCGGUGAAAUGCAUAGAGAUGACACAGAACACCGAUCGCGAAGGCAGCUCACUAAGCUGAAACUGACGCUCAGGCACGAAAGCGUGGGUAGCAAACAGGAUUAGAUACCCUGGUAGUCC
rnacentral:rRNA from 1 species